AAGUGUGAAGUUGUCCAGUUUCCUUAGCGAUAGUGCUUUCUUAUAAAUCUUGAACAGGGACAAGUACUUAUGACCAGUUUAACUUAGGUUUCACACCGAGUCGGUAGGCGCAAAUAGCGUCCACCCCUGACGAUGCGAUGCGAUACGAUAUUAUGCUGCUGCUGGCUUAAUGAUCUGUUGACCGCUCCGCGAUUUGUCCGGCAAUUAAAGAGUCCAAAGAUCAAUCAAUGUCAAACCGCCACAAAGCACCCAGUUCCGGACUUGAGUAGCUACUACAACCAUGUAUGUUUGCACUUUUUGAAUGGGCCUCUCUGGUCCGAUGAUAAUAAUAAUAAUAAAAGCGCCGCUGAUGACUUUGAUGAAUGGAGGGGCGGAGAUGGAAAACAGAUUCGAGAGUAAGACAGAGCUUCACUUGGCCCAUUCACAAAUCGGACACAGUGGGCCGCUAAAUUUCAUAUAACCGCAAGCAAACAAAACCGAAAACAGGAGAAAACGUUAUAGUCGAGUUUCGGAACUAUCAGAUACCUGUUACAAAGAAGUUCGAGGAGGAAAUCUUUUGACGGAUCGAUAGAAAUUGAUAGAAAGAAAAAUAAUAAAAUAAAAAACUUUUGGGAGGCAACGUUUGGAAAGAAACUUGUGCUGCGUCUAUGCUCCUAGAGUUGAAUAUCUAAUUCUAGCAAUUAUAGUUCCCGAGAUCUCAACGUUCAUACUUGAUCAAGAAUAAAUAUACUUUAUAGAGUCGGAAACGCUAUAUUGUCCCUAUUACAUAAUUUACAACCAAUCUAUUACAUCAUAAAUAUUAAUUAUCAUUUGACGGGGAAAUGAAAUCGCCGCCGCUCCCGCUGCCACCGCCGCUGGUUCAAUCGUCGUCAACCAUCGCUCAAUCACUUGCUUACGAAUCCCCAAACCGAAUGCAAAAAAUUUGGGCAUUUGUCGCAGUCGCUGCCAUAGUUCCAACUUCGAUUUCAUGAAUGAAAAAGUAGCAAACGUUGCCGUAGCCGAGGCAGCCAUGGUAUUGCCAUUUAUAGGCAAGGUGCAGGUGAGUAGAAGCUCGAAUA